UGUAAGCAAUGAGAGGACAUUUAGGCAGCAGAACCUGAACUCCAGCAUGUGUUAAAAUGGGGGAUGGGUCACGGGCACAAAUGAGGCUCAUGACAUACCCCAACAUGUAUAUAAAACAUAGUACUGAGUGAUGGACAUCUGGAGAUCCAGGUGGGCAUGCAGGCAGGCAGCCAGGAGGCACCAACUUCUCAACAGAUGGAAGGACCCACCCAACUCAGAUUCCAGAAGACUUGCAUGGGGGUGUGUGUGCCAACAGGUGGGUGCAGAUGUUGACUACAGCAAAGCAAAUCCCUAUUGCUGAUAUGAUUUUGACAUGAUACUACACAAGUUACCAUUAAUGGAACUGGCUACAGGGGAAUAAGAUAUGGAUCUAGUUAGGAAAAUGAAGCAAAAGGUAGGGCCUUCAUCUCACAAACAGGAAGCCAUUCAAUCAUUAAAUCUAGGGCAGAUACUCAGAGAUAGACUGUGGCCAUGACAAUGUGAUGCUGAGUCACCUGGCCAUGCAUGGAUCUUCUUCAAUACCUGAUAAGAACAGGACUGGUCCCAGAAGUGGGGUCAGGCACACACGGAAUAAAGGGAGAGUAAAGAGACUUGAGAGAGGAAAGAUGAGAAGGCAAGGAGCUUAGCUCCCAGCGCACUGUCACUAAUCACUGGAUCCCACAGAGUAGCGACAGAAAUACAGGCAUACCUUGGAGACACAGCAAGUUCAGUUCCAGGCCACCGCAAUAAAGUGAGGACCGCAAUAAAGUGAAGACCGCAAUAAAGCAAGUCAUACACAUUUUUGGUUUCCCAGUGCAUAUAAAGAGAUUAAAUAAGAUCCCUCUGCCCCACUGAAACAGGAGUUACCAACUUUUUGAAGAGGCUUGUGAGAUCCAACCCCUCUCCAGCUGAGGACCUGAGACCUAGUGAGGACAAUGACUUCUCAUAUCUACACUGCUAGUAGGAGACAAGCACUGGUUUCAGAAAAAAGAGGCGCUUAAGCUUAAGAGCUGCUGAUUCUGAGAAGUGUUCUGUUUAAGUCCAGCCCAUCUUCUCUCCACCGUUCCACACACACACAGCCACAUCAUCCCUGCUUCACCCAGCAUACCAGGAGGAGACAGGAAGGACUUCGGAAAACUUUUAUACUGAAUGCAGAACUUGGUACUCCAGAUCAAACUGCAGAAGUAAAUGAUAAUCCUUCCCCUUCAAGGCCCUCACAAUUGAGUAAGAGUUCAAAGAAAAAUUUACCACACAGUCCCCAGAGCACCAUCACUUCCAAGACUGUGACCUGCUUACAGAUCCACUCCUCUGCCCCCACAGUCCACAUGUCCACCCUGGGGGCCAUGGCUUAUUGAUUCUUCCAUGUAUCAGCCCAGGAAUCCCCUGCUGCCUUCUGAAUAAAGGGUGCAAAUACACGAAGCCUGCUCGCGAAUCAACAUAAAACCUGGCUUCCGAUACCGCUUCCCUGCCCGUCUGCUUCCACACUUUUCACUCACGGACUUUCCUGCUCCCCCAGGCACCUUGUCUCCUUUUCCAUCUGUGCUGACCCUUUGGCUUAGUGACUCAGCUUUUGGACUGGCCACUUCGCUGGGCCCUUGGUCCCUGCAAAACUGAGUUUCCUGUAUCUGUGCUCUGUCAACUCUGAGUCAGCCAAACAGCUGAGGUCAUUCUCUACUUGUCACCACCGAUGGGGACGGAGAGCCAACACCACCAGUCAGUCACCCAAGCUGGAAAUUUAAGCAUCAUCAUUUCUUCUUUUCCUUCCCAGCCCUCCCAUCGCCGCUUGCAGGCCAGUGAGUUCCACCCCAGGAAUGUUCCACCCCAGUGUAUAUAUUUUCUUCUGAAGUCCCAUCCCCAUACUGCUUGAGAUCGGGGCUCAUAAUUCCCCCAAUAAACCACUGUCCAGCCUCCUGCCUCA